rnacentral:rRNA from 1 species
GACGAACGCUGGCGGCGUGCUUAACACAUGCAAGUCGAACGGAAAGGCCCUGCUUUUGUGGGGUGCUCGAGUGGCGAACGGGUGAGUAACACGUGAGUAACCUGCCCUUGACUUUGGGAGAACUUCAGGAAACUGGGGCUAAUACCGGAUAGGAGCUCCUGCUGCAUGGUGGGGGUUGGAAAGUUUCGGCGGUUGGGGAUGGACUCGCGGCUUAUCAGCUUGUUGGUGGGGUAGUGGCUUACCAAGGCUUUGACGGGUAGCCGGCCUGAGAGGGUGACCGGCCACAUUGGGACUGAGAUACGGCCCAGACUCCUACGGGAGGCAGCAGUGGGGAAUAUUGCACAAUGGGCGGAAGCCUGAUGCAGCAACGCCGCGUGCGGGAUGACGGCCUUCGGGUUGUAAACCGCUUUCGCCGGUGACGAAGCGUGAGUGACGGUAAUGGGUAAAGAAGCACCGGCUAACUACGUG